rnacentral:rRNA from 1 species
UACGGAGGGGGCGAGCGUUAUUCGGAAUUAUUGGGCGUAAAGGGCGCGUAGGCGGCCUUGUAAGUCAAAGGUGAAAUCCCUCGGCUCAACUGAGGAACUGCCUUUGAAACUGCAAGGCUUGAGGCUGGGAGGGGGUAGCGGAAUUCCCAAUGUAGCGGUGAAAUGCGUAGAUAUUGGGAGGAACACCAGUGGCGAAGGCGGCUACCUGGACCGGUUCUGACGCUGAGGCGCGAAAGCGUGGGGAGCAAACAGG